UGUUAACAACAUAAAGACAAGAAUUGCUGUCAUUUCAUUUCAUUGGCUUGACCUCUUCAAGGAUGGGACUCUCUUCCUCCUCUUGUUACUACUCUGAACUUGCUUCAAAUCACACAUACACGACAAAGAACGGAAAUAUGGAGUGUGGCCCACAACAUUAUGGAGUAACGAACUUGGGUUCAAUUGGUUUAUUCAACGUCACUGCUCAAUUAAUUAUUCGUACCAGAAUUUGUGAUGGACAUGCUCCCAAAUGUCUAACGUUAGAAUACCAUUUGUCUGAUUUGAUACAAAUACUCAAUACAUUUUAAUUUUGCAACCACACUGUAUGAAAAAUUAAAGAGGAACACAAGAACUUACAAUCAA